GCAGUGGUGGAGCACAUUUGUGCAAUCCCCACUACUGAAGAGGCUAAUCUUGAUGGCUCAUUUUGGUUUGAGAGUUCUGAGCUUUAGUACACCUAAGCUGCUUUGAUGUCUGCAUUAAGUCUGGUACCAAUAUGGGGACCUCCUGGGAUUGGGGGGCACCAGACUGCUUAAGGGGGAGUGAACUGACCUAGGUGAGAAAUGAAGCAGGUCAAAGCUUCUGUGUAGAUCAGUACGAGGAUUGUAAAGGGCCACUGCACUUAAAGCCCAGGAAAGACAGGAAGACCCUGUGUUAA
rnacentral:SRP_RNA from 1 species